CGUUCCUUUGCGUUGGGGGCGCUCGUAGUGUGGUGGUUGUACGGCUUACAGCCAGGCUUCAUACGCUAUCGUCCUGCCCGUGAGUUCCCGUUUUGUGGGUGGUUAGAGCAGCCAGCGGGUAUAGAAUGGAUUUUGGAGGAGGGAGUCACCACUGGGCCUCCAAGGAAGCCACGUGCAGACAUCUACAACCUUCGAUCUCCUGACGAGUUUAUUGUUGGCCAAAACCAGGCUUUGACUGAACCAGGAUGAAUGCGGGUGUUGGGAAUAGAAUAUAUAUAUACAUAUAAAACCGGUUGGGAGCCACGUGCACCAGUGUGUUGAUCUUGGCUUGAUUCAGUCAGAAACUGGCGAAGGAAUAUGAGAGGAGUCCUCUGGAAAGAAAAGAACAGACCCUGUGCUUUCAUGAAAGUGAAGAUCUGGCUGAACCAGUUCCACAAGGUUAUUUUAUACAUAACCUGGGUUUAAAAGGCUGUGCCCACUUUGAAGAAUGUCAUUGUUAGACUUUGCUGAAAUUUCUAACUGCCUACCUGGAUAGAGAAAAUAAAAUCUUUUAAAUCAAAAUGCUGUUUGUUUGGCCAUUGGAGAUAACCAUUGAACAGGAAUAACAAGUAGUAGUUGGGUAUUUGCAGUUUCAUUUGGUUUUAGUUUUUUGAGGGGAAAAUCACCCUAGUGGGCAGUUGGUUUCUGUGGGCAAAGCAUGGCUUUCCACAGGUGUUAAGUGCCUCAUGAUUGGCUUCUGCAUUGGAAACCUAAGAAUAAGCAAGCACACUUGGGCCAGAAUUCGAACUCCAGGGGCAGAGAAGCAGAGGGUCAAUACAAAGGUAUCUCACUUGUAUGCUUAUACCUGUGCAAGAUUGUAUAUGUUAAAUCGUGGGUAUUGGGCCUUAAUGGUUGCAUGAGAUGAGUAAGGAUGAUUUGGGCUAUGGUAUUUGUGUUUAUAAACUUCAUAGAAAAUUGCAAAUAUAGGCUGUAUCAUUUAUCAACGAUGAUUUUUUUUAAUUUAAAAUAAUACACACUGAAUAA